AUCCAAUUAAAGUCCAAUGGUGAAAUUGCGAAGUGGGUCAGGGCAGGAAUGCAGCAGCCCUAAGCAAUUAAAUCAUGUGGACUUUUUAUAUUUUAAUUU
rnacentral:SRP_RNA from 1 species